UACGUAGGGGGCAAGCGUUGUCCGGAUUUACUGGGCGUAAAGCGCGUGUAGGCGGCCACGCAGGUCCGUUGUGAAAACUCGAGGCUCAACCUCGAGAUGUCGGCGGAAACCACUUGGCUAGAGUCCGGAAGAGGAGAGUGGAGUUCCCGGUGUAGCGGUGAAAUGCGCAGAUAUCGGGAAGAACACCUAUGGCGAAGGCAGCUCUCUGGGACGGUACUGACGCUGAGACGCGAAAGCGUGGGGAGCGAACAGG
rnacentral:rRNA from 1 species